rnacentral:rRNA from 1 species
CACUAUGCUUAGCCCUAAACAUAGAUAGAAUGCCACCCUUCUAUCCGCCCGGGUACUACGAGCAUUAGCUUAAAACCCAAAGGACUUGGCGGUGCUUUAGACCCAUCUAGAGGAGCCUGUUCUAGAACCGAUACUCCCCGUUAAACCUCACCCCUCUUUGUCUCUUCCGCCUAUAUACCGCCGUCGUAAGCUUAUCCCGUGAGGGUCUAGUAUUUAGCUUAAUCGGCACAGCCCCAAACGUCAGGUCGAGGUGUAGCUAAUGGAGGGGGAAGAAAUGGGCUACAUUUCCUCGCGACAGGAAAUACGGAUAACGUACUGAAAUACGCGUUUGAAGGUGGAUUUAGUAGUAAGCAGUAAACAGAGUGUGCUGCUGAAACUGGCUCUGAAGCGCGCACACACCGCCCGUCACUCUCCCCAAGCAACUUUUUAAUCUUUUUAAAUAAAAUCCCGCCUUUGCAAAGGGGAGGCAAGUCGUAA